GAUGAACGCUGGCGGCGUGCUUAAUACAUGCAAGUCGAACGAAUGGAUGUCUAGCUUGCUAGACUGAAGUUAGUGGCGAACGGGUGAGUAAUACAUAGGCAAUCUGCCCUGAAGUGUGGGAUAGCUAUUGGAAACGAUAAUUAAUACCGCAUAGGUAGUAGGAAGGCAUCUUCCUACUAUUAAAGAUGCGUCUGCAUCGCUGCAGGAUGAGCUUAUGGUGUAUUAGCUAGUUGGUGAGAUAAAAGCCCACCAAGGCUAUGAUACAUAGCUGGUCUGAGAGGAUGAACAGCCACAUUGGGACUGAGACACGGCCCAGACUCCUACGGGAGGCAGCAGUAAGGAAUUUUCGGCAAUGGGGGCAACCCUGACCGAGCAACGCCGCGUGAGUGAUGAAGGUCUUCGGAUCGUAAAACUCUGUUGUAAAGGAGAAUGUCAUAUAUAGGAAAUGAUAUAUGAGUGAC
rnacentral:rRNA from 1 species